GAUGAACGCUAGCUACAGGCUUAACACAUGCAAGUCGCGGGGCAGCAUGGGGGUUGCUUGCAAUCCCCGAUGGCGACCGGCGCACGGGUGAGUAACGCGUAUCCAACCUGCCCUUCACCACGGGAUAACCCGGCGAAAGUCGGACUAAUACCGUAUGUUGUCCAUUGACGGCAUCCGAUUUGGACGAAAGGUUUGGCGGUGAAGGAUGGGGAUGCGUCCGAUUAGCUGGACGGCGGGGUGACGGCCCACCGUGGCGACGAUCGGUAGGGGUUCUGAGAGGAAGGUCCUCCACACUGGAACUGAGACACGGUCCAGACUCCUACGGGAGGCAGCAGUGAGGAAUAUUGGUCAAUGGGCGUAAGCCUGAACCAGCCAAGUAGCGUGCAGGAUGACGGCCCUAUGGGUUGUAAACUGCUUUUAUGCGGGGAUAAAGUGGCCCACGUGUGGGUUUUUGCAGGUACCGCAUGAAUAAGGACCGGCUAAUUCCGUG
rnacentral:rRNA from 1 species